rnacentral:tmRNA from 1 species
GGGGGUGCACUUGGCUUCGACAGGGAAAUAUUUUGGUUGGCUGGCAAGCAGGAGUUUAUAUCACUUUCUCCUUAACAAAACGAUAUAUCAACUUAAAUGCAAACGCAUUGAGUAAACUAUUUGCACCGAUUAAGAAAGCUUCUGAUGCAAUCGCAUCAUUUGUUUCUCCUAAUUUAGUUGCAAAUUUUGCAGCUUAAUUCCGCCUAGCGGAAUUAUCUCAAACGCUCGCGAAGAACUGUCUCAGGUGAGUUUUAGCGGGUGUUCCACAUAGCCUGAGUACAAAGGUAAUUUUUAGUUUAGGAAUUAUCUCUAUGCAAAUCUAGACUGGGUCUGAAAUCUUUUUUUCUGUCUUGAUUUUUCAGUUUCCUUAAACCUCAGACAGAACAAGCUUGUAAAUACCGGUUGAUCAGAAGUUCUUUGGACAGGAGUUCGAUUCUCCUCACCUCCACCA